AACGUAGGUGGCGAGCGUUAUCCGGAUUUACUGGCGUAAAGCGUGUGCAGGCGGUUCACCAAGUGGUGUAUGAAAUCGCUCGGCUUAACCGGGCGGGGUUAUGCCAGACUGGUGGACUAGAGUGCGAGAGAGGGGCGUGGAAUUCCGGGUGUAGUGGUGAAAUGCGUAGAGAUCCAGAGGAACCCCAGAGGCGAAGGCGGCGUUCUGGACUGUUCUGACACUGA
rnacentral:rRNA from 1 species